rnacentral:rRNA from 1 species
AUGGAACUUUUUACGUCCUCAAACCCCCACCGAAUGCCUGAGUUGAUCGACAAGGUCGAACCACGAGUAACUCCUGAUAUGCAUGCCGUACUUGACGCAGAGUUCACUCGUGAAGAGAUCAAGGCGACACUUGAUCAUAUCGGCGAUCUAAAGGCGUCGGGUCCUGAUGGGAUGCCAGCGGUUGUUUAUAAGAGGCAUUGGCAUUUCAUGGGAGAUAAGAUAGUGGAAGAGGUGCUAGCGGUCUUGAAUGAAGGAGAAAUUCGAGAAGGGUGGAAUGAUACAAUGGUCGUGCUCAUACCAAAGGUUAAGAACCCGAGAAGGAUCGAGGAUCUACGACCAAUCAGUCUUUGCAACGUGGUGUACAAACUGGUGUCGAAAGUCCACUAG